AACGAACGCUGGCGGCAGGCUUAACACAUGCAAGUCGAACGGGUGUAGCAAUACAUCAGUGGCAGACGGGUGAGUAACACGUGGGAACCUUCCUAGGGGUACGGAACAACUCAGGGAAACUUGAGCUAAUACCGUAUACGUCCGUGAGGAGAAAGAUUUAUCGCCCUUAGACGGGCCCGCGUCGGAUUAGCUAGUUGGUGGGGUAACGGCCUACCAAGGCGACGAUCCGUAGCGGAUCUUAGAGGAUGAUCAGCCACACUGGGACUGGGACACGGCCCAGACUCCUACGGGAGGCAGCAGUGGGGAAUCUUGGACAAUGGGCGCAAGCCUGAUCCAGCCAUGCCGCGUGAGUGAAGAAGGUCUUCGGAUUGUAAAGCUCUUUUGCCAGGGACGAUAAUGACGGUACCUGGAGAAUAAGCCCCGGCAAACUCCGUGCCAGCCGCCGCAGUAAUAC
rnacentral:rRNA from 1 species